CCUACGGGAGGCAGCAGUGAGGAAUAUUGGUCAAUGGGCGCGAGCCUGAACCAGCCAAGUAGCGUGAAGGAUGACUGCCCUAUGGUUUGUAAACUUCUUUUAUAAGGGAAUAAAGUGAGGCACGUGUGCCUUUUUGUAUGUACCUUAUGAAUAAGCAUCGGCUAACUCCGUGCCAGCAGCCGCGGUAAUACGGAGGAUGCGAGCGUUAUCCGGAUUUAUUGGGUUUAAAGGGAGCGUAGAUGGGUUGUUAAGUCAGCGGUGAAAGUUUGUGGCUCAACCGUAAAAUUGCAAUUGAUACUGGUAGUCUUGAGUACAGUUGAGGUAGGCGGAAUGCGUGGUGUAGCGGUGAAAUGCUUAGAUAUCACGAAGAACUCCGAUUGCGAAGGCAGCUUACUAAACUGUCACUGACAUUGAUGCACGAAAGCGUGGGUAUCAAACAGGAUUAGAUACCCGGGUAGUC
rnacentral:rRNA from 1 species